rnacentral:tRNA from 2 species
GCGAGGGUGGCGGAACUGGUAGACGCACCAGACUUAGGAUCUGGCGGCUUGUCCGUGGGGGUUCGAGUCCCCCCUCUCGCACCA